rnacentral:lncRNA from 1 species
CAGAAAACCAAAUGCCGCAUGUUCUCACUUACAAGUGGGAGCUAAACAAUGAGUGCACAUGGACUCAAAGAAGGGAACAGUAGACACUGGGGCCUAUUUGAAGGUGUAGGGUAGGAAGAGGGAACUAUGUACUGAAGAUUUGGGGGCAAAAGAGGACCACAUCUGCAACUAACUGGAGAUGGUUCAGAAGAUGAUGCACACACACUCAAGCAUAUCGAGAGAGAAAGGGGCAGAGGACACAGAAGGCCCUGAGUUUAAUGUGCAUGUUUUGGGGAAUUUGGAAGAAGAGCCCCUGAUAAUUCAUCCUUCAUUAUUCUUGCAACUUUUCUCUAAAUCUGAAAUUAUAUUAAAAUAUAAAGUUAGAAGAAAACAUGAA